rnacentral:rRNA from 1 species
CCUACGGGAGGCAGCAGUGGGGAAUAUUGCACAAUGGGGGGAACCCUGAUGCAGCGACGCCGCGUGAGUGAAGAAGUGCUUCGUUAUGUAAAGCUCUAUCAGCAGGGAAGAAAAUGACGGUACCUGAGGAAGAAGCCCCGGCUAACUACGUGCCAGCAGCCGCGGUCAUACGUAGGGGGCAAGCGUUAUCCGGAUUUACUGGGGGUAAAGGGGGCGUAGACGGGGGUGCAAGUCUGGAGUGAAAGGCGGGGGCGCAACCCCGGGACUGCUCUUGAAACUGCACGGCUGGAGUGCAGGAGAGGUAAGCGGAAUUCCUAGUGUAGCGGUGAAAUGCGUAGAUAUCAGGAGGAACACCAGUGGCGAAGGCGGCUUACUGGACUGCAACUGACGUUGAGGCCCGAAAGCGUGGGGAGCAAACAGGAUUAGAUACCCUGGUAGUC